rnacentral:rRNA from 1 species
CUACGUGCCAGCAGCCGCGGUAAUACGUAGGUGGCAAGCGUUGUCCGGAUUUAUUGGGCGUAAAGCGAGCGCAGGCGGUUCCUUAAGUCUGAUGUGAAAGCCCCCGGCUCAACCGGGGAGGGUCAUUGGAAACUGGGGAACUUGAGUGCAGAAGAGGAGAGUGGAAUUCCAUGUGUAGCGGUGAAAUGCGUAGAUAUAUGGAGGAACACCGGUGGCGAAAGCGGCUCUCUGGCUUGUAACUGACGCUGAGGCUCGAAAGCUAGGGGAGCAAACAGGAUUAGAUACCCUGGUAGUCCUAGCCGUAAACGAUGGACACUAGGUGUGGGGGAAUAUUUCUUCCGUGCCGCAGCUAACGCAUUAAGUGUCCCGCCUGGGGAGUACGACCGCAAGGUUGAAACUCAAAGGAAUUGACGGGGGCCCGCACAAGCGGUGGAGCAUGUGGUUUAAUUCGAAGCAACGCGAAGAACCUUACCAAGUCUUGACAUCCUUUGACCACUCUAGAGAUAGAGCUUUCCG